rnacentral:lncRNA from 1 species
CGUGCUUUCGUUUUGUGCUUUGGAAACUAGACUCUCUACCUUUACUUUUGAAACAUUGGUGCUGGUUACUUUGUUUGGCAAAAGCUGGGGAGGCAUUUAAUCUUGGAUCGGUGGUAAAACACUGAUAUUUUUUAUUCUUAGUCUAUUUUAUACUGAUUUUUCUUAACUGUUUUUCAAAUGUUGUCCUCUCAGAAGGGGUUCUACUAAAGGUAGAAUCUGUACAAUUAAGGAAAUAGGGCCUAGAGAACAAGCCUCUUGAUGUGCGCCCUAAUGCCAAAGUUCAGGGUAAACAUCUGAGAUGAGAAAGAGCAUUCACCUAAGAAUCUAGCUGAGUCCCAGAAACAAGCCAAGCAGUAAACAGCACCAAAAAGAGUUGUUGGGGACUUCAUCUGUUUGCUGUGGAUCCCUGAUCCUUGAUGCUAAUCUACCUCUUCUUCCUAUUAACCCUGAAAAGAAGCCAAAUUCACAGGCUGUAGUGCCUGGCUCUGUUUUAUCAUUUCCUGCUGCUGCCUCUUUAUUUCCUCUUCCUUUCUCCCAGAUUGUUACCUAGAUUGAUGCCCGUCUUUCUCACCUAGAGUACCCUUACUUUUUAUACAGAUGACUACCAUCGUUUCUGCUCUGUUCUGGAUCUGCCCCUUCCUGGGGAACCCAGCACCCACUCUCGCUCUGGAUUCUAUUGGUCAGCCUGGCUGGUCCCCAAGGCAUCAGGGUGCAGGGGACACAAAGCAACUUAUGUACUCUAUUCUACCCCCACCUCAAAUUAAAAUGCUAAGCUGCUGAAAGCCUCAUGCCACCCUGCAUUUGUGUCAUUGACAAAGCUGCUGCAAAACGUUGGGGGUGUGAUGUGGAGAACAGCUAUCAUAGGCUCCCCCUCCGUUGACUCAGUAGAAUCAAAGCCACUUUUGUAUCUAUUUUUUCCUGACAUUUAAGCCUGCCUUAUUGGAGUCUGUCAGAGUGGGAGGCUAAUAGAGGUUCCCUGGGUUAGGAAUUCUAGUGUUCUUGAGCUAAAUGAGACCAUCUGAAUCCUUCACUUCCAAGCUCUUAAAUCAUCUGCUUAGACUGUUUCCAUUCCCUCUUUAGGUUCUCCUCCUUUGACACAGUAAGGUUGAAAGACCAUCACACAUGCUUUAUCCUUUUCUCAGUGGUUCAGAAUGCAUCCUCAGACACCCAGUGGAUCUGUGUACGUCACUACUAAAAUUGACUAAUUGUUUCAUCCCUACUCAGAAGAACACACAAUGGAUUGAAUUCUCAACAGCUUUGCAUUUUCUUUAAACCUUUCUUACAUAUUUGAGGCCUGCUAGCAUGUGCUAGUGGGAUAUAAGACAAUGGUAAAUUAUUAUUGGAAAGACUAACACAAACAAUUAUUCAUAUUUCAAAUAAUGUGCAUGUGAGGGUAAUGAUUUAUUAUAUACAUAAAUCUCAAAAAAUUGUUCCUGGUUCAUAUCAUAGAAAUUAAAUAUCAACAUUUCAGUUAACAAUUUACACAGCAGAGAUAAUUCAGUCUGAAUAGUGUAGCUACCAGUUGUACUAAUCAAGCAUUUAAGUAUUGUUCAUGUAAUCUUGAAGUUUCUUAACAGAAUAGAUAUUUGAAACUUGUUUUUAUUUUAAGUAGAUACGGCCAGGUGGAAAAGUUUUCUCUAGUUUUAAAACUUCAAGUUUCAUGUCAUAUUUAGUUUUCUUUCUGUCAAUACCAUUUCUUCUGCCACUAGAUUGAUUUAUCCAGCAGACACAUUGGUAUUUUCUAGAUGUAGGGUUAGGGUGAGGACACAAAGAUGGAGUCACCAUCCCCAGUCUCAGGUUGUUUGAACUCUAGUAAUAGAAAGAAAACACGCAUAAAGAUGAGUGCCAUAGAUAAUAAAGUCUGCGGGUGUUCAGAGGUGGGAAGAGAUUGAUUCCAGUGGGAAUGAUUUGGUUAGUAAAGACUCAUGAUAGAAGGCACACAGUUGAUACUGAAUAAACAUGUUCAAACUUACCUCUUGGGGCCUGAGGCUGUAGCUCAUUGGUAGAGUGCUUGCCAAUGUGUGAGCACUGGGUUUGCUUCUCAGCACCUCAUAUAAAUAGAUAGAUAGGUCACUAUCCACUGACAACUUAAAAAAAAAUGCCUCUUCAUUUUCACUGGGUUCCAAAAGAUUGGAUUUUUGCUGGGUAGGUGGCACAUGCCUAUAAUCCCAGCAGCUCAGGAGGCUGAGACAGGAGGAUCAUGAGUUCAAAGCCAGCCUCAAGCAGAAAGCAAGGCUCUAAGCACCUCAGUGAGACCUUGUCUCUAAGUAAAAUAUAGAAUAGGGCUGGGGAUGUGGCUCAGUGGUUGAGUGCCUCUGAGUUCAAUCCCUAAUACCUGCCCCCCCAAAAAAUAAAAAUGAUGACUUUCAAUUCUCAGUCAUUUGCAUACCAUUUUUAUGACAUUUGCCAUAUUUGCAUGUUGCCUACUUUAUUAUUCAAAUCUACUCUUGUUUUUAAGUUUGGUGCAUUCUUACUCUACACAAUUGUUUUGAAAUUAAAAGGUUUAAUGUGCUAAUGUCUUUUCCUAAUGCACAUUAAAAAGGGAAGGAAAAAAAAACCAUAGCUCCAGAGACUUGGGAGGCUGAGGCAGG